GUGGAGAGUGUGGCAGUCGGCCUCAGCGAGAGAGGGAACCUGCCAUGAGGAUGUUGUGUGGGCCUUUAGGAGAGGAUGCACCCUGCUGGAUACACAGAGUCACUCUCUCUAUUAGUCAUAAUGCAGUUAUCUCUGUUAUUCUGCUCUGAUAAAGGACAUCUCCUUAGCGUAAAGCAUUUAAGAUGCUAAGAAUUCUCUAUUAAAUGAUAGAUAUUUGCAGUGAAAUUAGACUGUCUAGGAUGUAUUUUUAGACUGCCAACGGACUCGCUCUUGUUUGCUGUCUUCAUUACUGUAAAGUGCCUCCUCUCUUUUGUCAAGGACAGGAGGAGAGGAAAGAUGGAGGGAUGAAUGCAGCCAAAUCUACUCAAGAUGCUGUGCUAGACUUGUUUUCCAUAGAAAGAUUGCCCCUUUAAGGUGGAUUUUGAGUUCCUUCUCCAAGCAACAUUGUCAGCUUUGUGCUCCCUAAGGUAUAUGACAUAUCAGCCUGCUUCAGGGUAUCAGAGGAGCUGAGAACAGCAUCGUGGAGGAGAGUUCUAAGGGAGACUGACUUGGAGACGGGUGUACUGUAGACUUGACCUAUGUGCAGCCCACCGAAGUUGGAUGUUACCUGGACGUGCCAGCCUCUGACUGUUGAAGACAUGUACUUUUUUGUUUUUAAGCGUCUUUGAGAUUAUCUUUAUAAGGAAAAGUGCUAUAUAAAAUAAAUAGAUAUACUGUAUAUAUAUAUAUAUAUCAGCAAUGGAUUGAUAAUCAUUUGUUUUAGAGUCAGCAAUGUUACAGAGAAUGGACAAAGACAGCACAGUCGAACAGGGACACAACAGUAACAUUGCCUGUGAUACAUUAUCUUACAUUCACUUAUAUCAGUGCCUAUGUUUCCUGUAUCUAUAUUGGAUGGAUAUCUGUCCUUGUUGAUGGCGCUCUUUUCACCUCUAAAUUCUUUCAGUGUGACUAAGCAUAGAACAUGUUUGAGUACUACGCUGCUUCUAUGCAUGUCAGGACUACUGCUACUGUAUUUGUGAGUGUAUGCAUGUUCAUACUGUGUAUGUAGGUAUGUAUAGGCCUACAUUUACUAGUAAGUGUGUGCACAUGUGUAACCGGCAUAGACACAUUUUCCACAGUUAGGAUUCUGUGAUGCAGUUGCUAUGGUAACCAUGAUAGAAAUAGACGGGUAUCUGCAUGGGAACAAAAUAAUUGAACAGUGUUGUUUAGAAAUAGAGACAGAAAAUAAAAGAUCGGUGAAUGAGUGUGUGUACACUGCAGUACAUUAAAAGUGCAGCAGCGUGGAUGGGGGCCAUAGGCCAAGCCAUUAUGACUAGGAGAGAGUGAGUGUGUCUGCACUGCAUUCACUGCCUGUGCUUGAGAGGAGAUAAGCACUCAGUGACAACACAAAUUAAAUAGGGAAACGAUAUUGUUUAGAACAUCUGUUAUUGUACAUGAUAACAUGGUUUCCUAAUCACAAUGUGAUAAAUCUAAUCAGGUAGGCUAUUCGAUAGCCUGGGCUUUAAUUUCUUUAAUUUCAGUGCAUGGUAUUCCUUGCAGUAGGGUAAUUUAAUGAGACAUUUCAUAAGUCAGGAGUCAGUUGAGAAGGGCUCUAUGUUAUGUGUUGGGUGUCAGUGUGCUGUAGCUAAGGUAGGCUGCAGUUACUGAAUGUCAGGCGUUAUCCCUAAACAUCAGAGAUUUUAAAGACCAGGCAAAUAACCACAUCAACCAGUAUGCUGUCUGUAUCUUUAUUAAACCCAUUUUCUUAACACCGUUCAA